GUGAGGAAUUUUCCGAAAUGGGCGAAAGCCUGACGGAGCAAUGCCGCGUGAAGGAUGAAGGCCUAUGGGUUGUAAACUUCUUUUCUCAGAAAAGAAUUAUGACGGUAUCUGAGGAAUAAGCAUCGGCUAACUCUGUGCCAGCAGCCGCGGUAAGACAGAGGAUGCAAGCGUUAUCCGGAAUGAUUGGGCGUAAAGCGUCUGUAGGUUGUUUAAAAAGUAUUCUGUCAAAGAUUAGGGCUUAACCCUAGAUAGGCAGAAUAAACUUUUAAGCUAGAGUUUGGUAGAGGCAGAGGGAAUUCCCGGUGGAGCGGUGAAAUGCGUAGAUAUCGGGAGGAACACCAAAGGCGAAGGCACUCUGCUGGGCCAAUACUAACACUGAGAGACGAAAGCGAGGGGAGCAAAUGGGAUUAGAAACCCGGGUAGUCC
rnacentral:rRNA from 1 species